CUACGGGGCGCACCAGUGGGGAAUUUUGGACAAUGGGCGAAAGCCUGAUCCAGCAAUACCGCGUGCAGGAAGAAGGCCCUCGGGUUGUAAACUGCCUUUGUACGGAACGAAACGGCGCGCUCUAAUAAAGUGCGCUAAUGACGGUACCGUAAGAAUAAGCACCGGCAAACUACGUGCCAGCAGCCGCGGUAAUACGUAGGGUGCAAGCGUUAAUCGGAAUUACUGGGCGUAAAGCGUGCGCAGGCGGUUUUGUAAGACAGGCGUGAAAUCCCCGGGCUCAACCUGGGAAUUGCGCUUGUGACUGCAAGGCUAGAGUACGGUAGAGGGGGGUAGAAUUCCGCGUGUAGCAGUGAAAUGCGUAGAUAUGCGGAGGAACACCGAUGGCGAAGGCAGCCCCCUGGACCUGUACUGACGCUCAUGCACGAAAGCGUGGGGAGCAAACAGGAUUAGAUACCCCAGUAGUC
rnacentral:rRNA from 1 species